CAAGUCCAUGGCAAAUUUUAAUGCUACGGGGUUUUAAAACGCAAUAUUGCUGGAUUUAUUGACACUGAGGGCGCUAGACACUUAAUUAUAUUUCGCGCCUUUGGUUUCCAUAACGACCAACACAGCUUUUUGUAAAGUUAACCAGUUAACAAACUUCAUAAAUUGAUAGAAAAAGCAGUUUUUUCAACACACAUGGCCAAGUUCGUAAUCGCAGGAUCAUGUAGUUGCCCUUAUUAUGCCAAGUUGGAACUUCUCGCUGACCAACUGGUUAGCAAUCUUGAACAGUUUAAGGUGGGAUAUGUUGUGUGUCUUGGUGAUGAUUUAUUUGGUGACCAUAGUGGAUUUUUUGCUUUAAAAGACAAUUGAGGUCUAAGAAAUGUAUUAAGACCAAAAAUAUUAUUGGUCACCAGCCAUAGGCGUAAAGUUUUACUAAACGUUAGGGUUGCAAAAACCAGAAAGAAAGGAAGUCCUCGCGCCGGUAGGCGC